GGGAAAAGCUCAAAUUUAAAAUCUCGGCGGUCUUUGGCCGUCCGAGUUGUAAUCUAGAGAAGUAAUGCCCGUGCUGGACCGUGUAUAAGUCUCCNGGGAUGGGGCGUCAUAGAGGGUGAGAAUCCCGUCUUUGACACGGACUACCAGUGCAUUGUGGUAUGCUCUCAAAGAGUCGAGUUGUUUGGGAAUGCAGCUCAAAAUGGGUGGUAAAUUCCAUCUAAAGCUAAAUAUUGGCGAGAGACCGAUAGCGAACAAGUACCGUGAGGGAAAGAUGAAAAGAACUUUGGAAAGAGAGUUAAACAGUACGUGAAAUUGCUGAAAGGGAAACGCUUGAAGUCAGUCGCGUUGGCCGGGGAUCAGCCUUGCUUUUGCAUGGUGUACUUUCUGGUUGACGGGUCRGCAUCAAUUUUGACCGCUGGAAAAGGGCCUGGGGAAUGUGGCAGCUUCGGCUGUGUUAUAGCCCCUGGUCACAUACGGCGGUUGGGAUUGAGGAACUCAGCACGCCGCAAGGCCGGGUUUCGACCCACGUUCGUGCUUAGGAUGCUGGCAUAAUGGCUUUUAAGCGACCCCGUCUUGAAACACGGACCAAGGAGUCUAACAUGCCUGCGAGUAUUUGGGUGAAAAACCCGAGUGGCGCAAUGAAAAGUGAAAGUUGAGAUCCCUGUCGUGGGGAGCAUCGACGCCCGGACCAGAACUUUUUGGGACGGAUCCGCGGUGGAGCAUGUAUGUUUGGGACCCGAAAGAUGGUGAACUAUGCCCUGAAUAGGGUG
rnacentral:rRNA from 1 species